GACGAACGCUGGCGGCGUGCCUAAUACAUGCAAGUAGAACGCUGAAGGAGGAGCUUGCUUCUCUGGAUGAGUUGCGAACGGGUGAGUAACGCGUAGGUAACCUGCCUGGUAGCGGGGGAUAACUAUUGGAAACGAUAGCUAAUACCGCAUAAUAGCAGUUAUUGCAUGAUAACUGUUUGAAAGGUGCAAUUGCACCACUACCAGAUGGACCUGCGUUGUAUUAGCUAGUUGGUGGGGUAACGGCUCACCAAGGCGACGCUACAUAGCCGACCUGAGAGGGUGAGCGGCCACACUGAGACGGAGACACGGCCCAGACGCCUACGGGAAGCAGCAGGAGGGAAUCGUCGGCAAUGGACGGAAGUCUGACCGAGCAACGCCGCGGGAGUGAAGAAGGUUUUCGGAUCGUAAAGCUCUGUUGUAGGAGAAGAACGAGUGUGAGAGUGGAAAGUUCACAAUGUGACGGUAUCUUACCAGAAAGGGACGGCUAACUACGUG
rnacentral:rRNA from 1 species